UUUUGAGUUUGCCAUUUGUCAGAGAUUAUUGUGACUUGUUACAACAGUUGCCCUUUGUAUUCAAGAGUAGCCUUUUAACAGAGUAGCAGCCUCUACAGGAAAACUACAGUCGUGUUAUCAGUGUCAGGAAACAAAUACCAAAACAUUUUCAGGGUAAUGAUUCGCUUACACGGUCCGUGACAUUGAUGUGACGAUUCUCAAAGCAAUAUCGUCGCAGCUGGAAGCAGCGCAGAACCGUUUCACCAGCGGAAGGCCGAAGCUUGACCAUUUGCUUCGCGGUGGCUUACCGCAUGAACACAUCCUAGAAGUGUGGACCGGCCGGAGCUGGAAAAACUCACAAUCAGUUACGUUUGCAGUUAUUCUUGGUGCUCCAGUUGGCCAAAGUUUCGGGGGGAUUGGAAGGGGUACUCUGCUUUCCAGACUGCUGUAUAUACAGUUGUAUUUACCGAGAAUGGCUUUCCCAGCAGGCAUUUGAAGCCGUUAUCCAAUUAUUACGCAAAACAUGCUGGAAUUGACGCAAGUUAUUCUGCGAUUUCCCUGGAUCAUGUUUUUGUCGAGACACGCAACAGUUUUGAUAAGCUGGAGGCGUUCUUGACAAUCCGAAUUCACAGCCUACUCGUAUCACCAACACAUUUCGUUAUAUUGACACAGAGGACGUCCAGAUCUGAGAUCCCGCAGCGGGCUAGAGCGUUAGUACAGACUACAGAGCAUUGGAACGCUACUGAUUGGUCUGCAAAAUACCUAUGGAGUCAGCAUAGUUUGCGCAAACCAGAUUUCGGAUGCUGUGCAGAGCAGCGAUCUCCAUGGGCCACCGGGGAAUAGUGUCGUACCGGCACUGGGAAUCGCCUGGGCUAAUUUUGUCUCCACGCGGAUUAUGCUUCGUAAGACGUAUAACUCAGAAUCCCGCGCAUCGCCCUCCUUUUCGCCACACCGCGAAAUGUGCGUUCUGUUUUCACCGUGUCUGCCGUCGACCUCCAUGACCUUCAAGAUCACAGCGGAAGGGAUUUUCGCGAGUGGAUAAUGAGAGAGCGCAAUCUUUCUCAUCGGAAAUGGAUGUCUAAUCAUGAUCAAUUGAGGAUUGUUAUCGUUUGAAAUGAAAGCUAAUUCCUCUUGUGGAUAAUAGUGGGAUGUUUGUGAGUACGUGUCGGCUGACGCAUCGCCUACGAGUAGGACACUACCGACUCCAUUUUGCCGUCAGCUUCCGAGGAAAUUUGGGUUUUGUGGGCGUAUUCUUUGAGAACAAUAGGUUCAACCCGGGUGUUUUCCAGGGGAAUGUCUUCCAGUGCAUCGUUAUCUGCAAGAAUGCGAUGUUUUUUGUUAAUGGUGUUAGGCAUCGAGAUAUCUUAGUUUUACCUUUUUAACUUUUUCAGUUUUUCAUAUGUUCGAGUGUUUUUACGGGAGUUGAAGGGUUUUAUAGGAGAAAUGACUGUUUUAGUGGACGCUCGUGUAACUUACAGUUGAGUGAUCGGCAGCAUAAAGUAUUCGCCAUUGCACGCCGAAAUCGCCGGCUCAUUGCACUGUAAAGGAAUGGAUUCAUUGCCGAAUUCAGGUAGA